GGGGAGGGGAGGUGCCACUUCAACCAACAUUCUCUCACACGACAGCCAGCCCAGGUUAUAGAGUUAAGGGUCCCCUUCGCGUGGACAACGGGACUGCAACUAAUCACAGGUCAAAAAAGCUCCCUGAGUCGACAUUGUCAACACCUUUUAGAAUUUUGAAUGCUUGAGACCAGAAUACCUGCCUGGAUUGCUUUAUUUACCUCCAUAUUCCAUUACCCAUGGCUUCUCCUUUCACUGAUUUAGAAGUUUUGACUGUUCUAUUUUCCCUGUUGGUAUUCAGUCUUUUUACAGCUGCUGGAAUCUAUAAUGAAAAAAUCAAAAGUCACUCAGCACUGCAACGUGAUUAUCUUGGACAAGAACCGGUGAUAGUGUGAAAAUUGAAGAUCUGGUGCAAUAAACUCUAUAAAGAUCACUUUAGAUGUAUUUACCAGAAGAUGCCAAUUGAUGUUGUUUGUAAAUUACAAAACUUAAUGGGAACCAUAUCUUUAAAAGUCCAUUUGAUUAGAAAUUAAGGUUGGCAUUCUUAAUGUGUUUUUUCACAACUGUGGAUACGUGAUGGAUUUGUUUGAAUUUGUUUUACCUGUAUGUAUCAUCUGUUACAACGGAGCAAUACACAACGUUGUAUUGCCUGUUAUCAUUAUUAUUUGUGUUUUGUCAUCAGACUUUGGAAUAUAAAAUAAAACACCAUUGCACCUUGA